rnacentral:rRNA from 1 species
AUUGAACGCUGGCGGCAUGCUUUACACAUGCAAGUCGAACGGUAACAGGCCUUCGGGUGCUGACGAGUGGCGAACGGGUGCGUAAUGCAUCGGAACGUGCCCAGAGGUGGGGGAUAACGCAGCGAAAGCUGUGCUAAUACCGCAUGUGAUCUGAGGAUGAAAGCGGGGGACCAGGCAGCAAUGUUUGGCCUCGCGCCUUUGGAGCGGCCGAUGUCAGAUUAGGUAGUUGGUGGGGUAAAGGCCUACCAAGCCGACGAUCUGUAGCUGGUCUGAGAGGACGACCAGCCACACUGGGACUGAGACACGGCCCAGACUCCUACGGGAGGCAGCAGUGGGGGAUUUUGGACAAUGGGCGCAAGCCUGAUCCAGCAAUGCCGCGUGCGGGAAGAAGGCCUUCGGGUUGUAAACCGCUUUUGUACGGAACGAAAAGGCUCUGGCUAAUACCUGGGGCUGAUGACGGUACCGUAAGAAUAAGCACCGGCUAACUACGUG